CAGCACAGAGCCCGACACGGGGCUCGAACCCACAAACCGUGAGAUCACGACCUGGGCCGAAGUCGGACGCUCAACUGACUGAGACACCCAGGCACUCCAAGUAAGCAGUAUUGAACCACUGGAUUUAAGUAGCUGCUCCCGACGUAGCAGAAGGCUGAAGCAUCUCAGCUGACAGGACUGAAAGUGACAAGUCGCGAAACAAUGACCUGAUCGAUCCUGAGGGACCAGAAACGGUGACUGCUGGAACAGGCGGCUGUGUGGUGGUGAAGCUUGAAGAGGACAAAAUGGCCAGCUGAUGGCACCAGAAGCUAAGUGAGAGAAUGACUUUCUGAGAAAUGCUUAAUCAUAAUCCAUGUUGCCUAGUGUGUUUCGGUGCGCCCUGGAAAAUGGGAGUUAAAAAAAAGCAGCCGUUUCCCAUGGG